rnacentral:rRNA from 1 species
UGGGGAAUUUUACACAAUGGGCGAAAGCCUGAUGUAGCGACACCGCGUGAGCGAAGAAGCCCCUUGGGGUGUAAAGCUCUGUCGGCAGGGACGAAACAAAUGACGGUACCUGCAAAGGAAGCAUCGGCUAACUACGUGCCAGCAGCCGCGGUAAGACGUAGGAUGCAAGCGUUGUCCGGAUUUAUUGGGCGUAAAGAGUUCGUAGGUGGUUUGUUAAGUCUGAUGUUAAAGACUGGGGCUCAACCUCGGGAGUGCAUUGGAUACUGGCAGACUGGAGUGCAGUAGAGGCAAGCGGAAUUCCCAGUGUAGCGGUGAAAUGCGUAGAUAUUGGGAAGAACACCGGUGGCGUAAGCGGCUUGCUGGGCUGUAACUGACACUGAGGAACGAAAGCUAGGGGAGCAAAUGGGAUUAGAUACCCCCGUAGUCC